AGUGAACGCUGGCGGUAGGCCUAACACAUGCAAGUCGAACGGCAGCACAGUAAGAGCUUGCUCUUACGGGUGGCGAGUGGCGGACGGGUGAGGAAUACAUCGGAAUCUACUUUUUCGUGGGGGAUAACGUAGGGAAACUUACGCUAAUACCGCAUACGACCUACGGGUGAAAGCAGGGGAUCUUCGGACCUUGCGCGAUUGAAUGAGCCGAUGUCGGAUUAGCUAGUUGGCGGGGUAAAGGCCCACCAAGGCGACGAUCCGUAGCUGGUCUGAGAGGAUGAUCAGCCACACUGGAACUGAGACACGGUCCAGACUCCUACGGGAGGCAGCAGUGGGGAAUAUUGGACAAUGGGCGCAAGCCUGAUCCAGCCAUACAGCGUGGGUGAAGAAGGCCUUCGGGUUGUAAAGCCCUUUUGUUGGGAAAGAAAAGCAGCAGGUUAAUACCCCGCUGUCCUGACGGUACCCAAAGAAUAAGCACCGGCUAACUUCGUG
rnacentral:rRNA from 1 species